ACGGAGGGUGCGAGCGUUAUUCGGAAUUACUGGGCGUAAAGCGCGUGCAGGCGGGGCGGCAAGUCUGAUGUGAAAUCCCUCGGCUUAACACGGGGAGUGCAGUUGAAACUGUCUUUCUUGAGUACUGGUGCGGAAGGGGGAAUUCCCGGUGUAGAGGUGAAAUUCGUAGAGAUCAGUAGGAAUACCGUUGGCGAAGGCAGCCUACGGAUCGGUUACUGACGCUGAUGCACGAAAGUGUGGAGAGCAAACAG
rnacentral:rRNA from 1 species